UAAUACGGAGGGUGCAAGCGUUGCUCGGAAUUACUGGGCGUAAAGCGUACGCAGGCGGCCAAUUAAGUCGGAUGUGAAAGCCCUGGGCUCAACCCAGGAACUGCAUUCGAAACUGGUUGGCUUGAGUGUGAGAGAGGGAAGUGGAAUUCCAGGUGUAGAGGUGAAAUUCGUUGAUAUCUGGAGGAACGCCGGCGGCGAAGGCGGCUUCCUGGCUCACAACUGACGCUCAUGUACGAAAGCGUGGGUAGCAAACAGGAUUAGAUACCCUGGUAGUCCACGCCGUAAACGAUGUUUGCUAGGUGUUGGUGGAAUUUACCCCAUCAGUGCCGCAGUUAACGCAUUAAGCAAACCGCCUGGGGAGUACGGUCGCAAGAUUA
rnacentral:rRNA from 1 species